rnacentral:rRNA from 1 species
UACGAAGGGUGCGAGCGUUAUUCGGAUUUAUUGGGCGUAAAGCGCGUGUAGGCGGCUUUGCAAGUCGGGUGUGAAAUCCCUCAGCUUAACUGAGGAAGUGCGCCCGAAACUGCAGAGCUUGAGUACCGGAGAGGGUGGCGGAAUUCCCCAAGUAGAGGUGAAAUUCGUAGAUAUGGGGAGGAACACCGGUGGCGAAGGCGGCGACCUGGGUAGAUACUGACGCUGAGGCGCGAAAGCGUGGGGAGCAAACAGG